CACCGGACCGCCCCGCCCCUUAUGACGUCACGUGGCGUCUGCACGCCCGUUGCCGGGCUCGCCCGCCUUGUAGGAAGGGAAGCUAGGGGUCCGGAACCGGCCGGCGUUGCCCGCGCAGCCUCUCUCGUUCCUCGCCGGCUGUCAGCUCGAGCCCCGCCCCCUUAGCCUUCCAAUGGGUUCUCGGCCCCGCCCCGCCCGUUCCCCGCUUCCGCCGUCGCUGCGCAGCGUCCGCUUUGCCCUGCAAUUUUCACUUUGCCGGCUUCUGGUGCACUCGGUGUGGAUUUAGGGUGUACUUGCUCUUUUCUUCGCUCAGAGUUCAGCCCUCCACCUGGGCCCUUUAAUCCCUCUGUCCCCGCGGUUACAAGGAACAGUUGCUGUGUUUAGAACCCAAUGGAUGAUGAAAUUCACCAGAGACCACAUAGCUAGAGAAUGGCCAAGCUCGAUUUUGAAUCUAGGCAAUCUUGACACCUCCCAUCCAGAGCCCUCCAGCUUAAAGGUUAUCACUUCUGACUUAUCUGUCUGUUCCCAGUCCUUACCAUGCUGUAACAAUGCAAAAUAGAGUAUUGACAAUACUACAUCAGUAUUCCCAUUCUCCAGUUUGUGUAUGUGUGCUUGUUGAGAUUUUACUGAUUCUUGACAUUUUUAUGUGGGACUGGUGCUCCAUAUGACCACUGAAAACAGAGGCUCAGCAGAGAGGCCAGUAAUUGGGAUUGUUAUUCUCCCCUAUUCUUCCUUCAACAUGAAGAUGGCGUCUCGCCCACAGAAGUUACUACUACACACCCUUCUGGCUCCACGACGUAAAGCCUCUCUGUCUAGACCCAGCCCACACUCUGCCAAAGAAGGAUUCUCUCAUUCGGGAAAUCAGACCCACUAAACAAACUCUCUGGCUCUGCUUUUAAUGCACUUGUCUGUGCACUGGCUGAGUGGACGCUGCUUCAAGCUCAGGUCUGCUCUUCAUUCCCUCACUCUGGGACCAGUAAUCACCUGGACAGAUGGCUGCUACCUCACGGCAGAUCACAGAUGCUCCAGAAGCCGGGCCAAACUCUGCAAGCAUGUUUAAAGCCUCACUCACGUCACAUCUGCUAAUAUCCUGAAUUUAUCUUCCCAUGUCAAUAUAAGCAGUUUUAUCUCAUUUUAACUGUUGCAUUGUAUUCUGUAGCAUAGGAAUGCUACCAUUUAUUAAGUCUCUUAUUAAUGGGCCUUUGGAUUAUUUCCAAUUUUCUCUUAUUAUAUCUGAUGCUGUGAUAAACAUCCUUGUAGAUAAUUUUUAUCUGAAUUAAGCAUUCAUUGUUAAGGAAAAAAAAAAACCCUAAAAGUGGAAUUUCUGGGUCAAAGCACAGAAAUAAUUAUUUUCAAAAGGUUUUUCUUCUCAGUGUGAUCUGGCAUUAAAAACCAAAGCAUCAAUAUUAAGCAGUUGGUUGAGGAUAUGAGGAUAUGAGGUACUGACCACGUAUAUGUGGGUGGGUAGGCAUGAGAGAGGACCAGAAGAGAAGAGGGGAAAAGAGAAGAAGGGAGGAGAAAUGGAACGUGAGAACCAUCUAAAUCCAAUAGAGAAUGAUAGACACUAUAUAAGAAUUACUGGUUGUAGUAGGAAACCCCUCUGAAUAGCCAGUUGUACCCUUGUUUAUUUGUAAAUGAAAUAAAAAAACCAAACCACUCAAAUCAGAACAUAUAUAUCUGUUGCAAAAAUUUAGCUAUUUUUAUAAGACGUACAAAUAUACAGCUAGUAAAUUACUGGAUCUAGAAUUUUUAACUGCAGUCUAUUACCUUGAUCUCCUUUUCCCAAUGAAUCAUUAAGAGCAGUGGUUUUCAACAGGGAUAUAUAGUUGGGGGUUACAGUUACACAGUUAUAGUAUAUAUAGUUAGAGGGAUAUAUAUAUAUAUAUAUAUAUAUGUAUGUAUGUUAUAGUUAUCUAUUGCUAUGUAACAAAUCACCCCAAAACGUAGUGGCUUAAAACAACAAUUUGUUAUUAUCACUGAUGGUUCUGUGGGUCAGCUGGGCUCAGGUGAGCAGCUCUCUCAUGGUGCCUCUCCUGUAGCUGCGGUCAGGUAUUAGCUGGGGCUGAAUCAUCUGAGAGUUCAACUGGGUUGAGUGUCCAAGAUGGCUCCCUCACAGGACCAGCAGUUGUUGGCUAAAAGCCCAGCUGACUGUGCCAAACCGAGUGGCCAAAUAUGGCCUCUACUUAUAGUUUGUGAGCCCCACAGCAUGGUGGCUACACUCACGGAUGGAGUGUCCUGGAGGGCGUAUCCCAAGAGUGAGUGUUUCAAAGUCCCAGGCGGUAGCUUCAAGGUUUAUGAUCUAAUCUCAGAAGUUCCAGAAUAUUUCUUCUGCAUUCUUUUGUUUCAGCAAAUCACUCAGGCCUCCACAGAAGCAAGGGGAGAAGAACUAGAUGCUGACCUCUUGAUUAGGGAGCAGCAAGUCAUAUUGCAGAAGAGGAUGUGGGAUGGAAACUAUUAUCGUGGCCAUCUUUGGAAGAUAAAAUCUGCCACUGUGGGGGAUUCGGGAAGAAUCCUCUGAAAUUGUUGACUAGGUUUUUAUAUGCUUAUGUCUUUCUCUGAAGAGAAGCCUAAAUAUUAAGAAGAUUCUCAAAGGAUUCUGUGACCAAAAUAAAUAAGUAAAAAAUGGAAACAAUCACUAAUCCAGGUAGAUUAUGGUGUGUUACAUAAUUAAGUUUAUUUUUAUACCCUAAUAUUCCUUUCUAAAGAUAUUUAAUCUCUGCCACUAACUUGGAAUUGUUCAGCAUCUAGCUAUGAUUCACUAAGAAAUUCAUCCAAUUAAAAUUUUUAAAAAGAUGUCAGAUAAUUCUGUCAGUGUGAGUGACUACAGGUUAAAUAAAACCAGAUACACAUAAACACACACUCACGCACGCACACACACUCAUGUACACGUACAUAAACAUUUUCUGAAUUGUAAACAGAGGAGCCUGAUUAAAUAGGCUUUGUAUUUUGGGCCACCGUUGCCGUUGGAGCUACCUAUAUGUGAUACUUAAGAGAGCUCUAACAGACUAUUAAUACUCUACAUGCAGUUCAGGGAACAUUUCUUUUUAGAGGCCUGCAGCACAGUCCUGCACAGUGCACAGUGAUUUCCACCAUGCAGCCUGAGAUUUGACUACUUUCAUCUCAGCAUAUGUAACUAUAACUGUUAUUAUUGGUCACGAAAUUAUCUGGUUUUUAUUACAGCACUGGAUUCUGUGACCCCCCCCCCCAGAAUCCUUGACUGCCUCAGAUAUGCUCCCUUUUUAGUAAGAACUCUUUCUGUCUGUUUAUGCCCCUCUACUUACUAUUAAUUUCAUGAACUUCUGUCCUCUGGAUUUCAGUGGUGGUGGGAAGGGGAAGGCAGAGAAUUUGGGAAGGGGUGCAGGAAUCCCCAGCCAGCUACAUCCUUCACAAGAGGUUAGAAGACAACCUACAUCAGUCAACAGGCCAACCACAGUCCUGCGCCAAAAUCCAUGUGAAAAUUCGAGAUGUACAACGAGCUAACAGGGGAUUUUUGUUGCUGCUGCUGCUGAGAUUGCUGGGUCUCUUACGACUCUUUUUAUCUGCACGUUCAUCUCCGUUCUCACCGUCUUCUCAAGCAUUGCCUUCUUAAGGAGACUAGGUCACUUUUUCCAUAACAUUCUGGACUCUGCUGAUUUUUUCAACAUGUUUCCCAUCUUCAAUGGUUCUGUAAACCCAGAAGUUAGAUUUACAGGCUUGGUUAGAUUCAGGGCUAACACUUUUGCCAUGGAUACCUCACAGGUGCUCCUCUGUACUUCUUAUGACAUCACACCAGGAAAUAUAUAAUAUCUAUUUGCCCUGCCUUUAAUGAUGUUGGUUGAUCCAGAUGGUGACUGCCUGAUUCCUAAUCGUAAAGUUGUAGAGUGACCUUUUGUCUCCCUUGGAAUAAUGUUCAGUUCCUCAUUAAUAUUUUGCUUCUUAGUUUUAGCUUCCAUAAAUGUUUAUUACUUGAAUCGGUUAUUUCAUUAGAUGUAAAAUGGUGAAUUUUUCUAUCAUUUCUUCUGCAUUUACUAGCUAGAAUACUUGUGUAAGAAAACUUUCCCUCAUUAACUAGGGCUAUAUUAUAAAAUUCUUAAAAUAGACUUUUCACAUGAAAAGCAGAUGAAGACUUAUUUUUCCCAUUAAUUACUCAUUUUUGGAGUAUGAGUUAAUAGACUACCUCCAAUAGUGAGAAACGAGUUAUGUUUGUUACUUUGGCUUUCUCUUUUGAGUAUCAUUUAUUUAGUUAAUGUGUUUCAAUCAAUUGCCAUCAUCUUUCUUGUUGAUGGUAAAAUGGACCACCUUUAGCCAGCAUAACAAGAUGAUCUAGUCUUGGUUUGUCAUUUGCCACUCCACACCUGGAACCAGAUCUCUCCAAGAAUCCCUGAUUCCUUUUAGUAGGGAAUGGUAGGCAGAGACCACAGUGUUGGUGCUAACAUUCUCAUUAUUACUGGGUUGUCAUUGCUACUGGGGCUUUUCUGUGGGCAGAACUGAGGUAUUUUAACAUUUUAAAUUUUAACAAAUUCAUAUUUAUAAUUCAAAUAUAUUUGAAUAUUUGAUAUAUCAAAUUCAAAUUUCAAAUAUUCAAAUAGUUUAAACUUAAAAGUAACCUACUGGUAAUUGUUGAAUCACUACAUCAUACACCUGAAACUAAUACAACACUGUAUGUUGA